rnacentral:rRNA from 1 species
GGCUUAUUGACUAUAAUUUUAAGUCUAUCUGCCCAAUGAUUAAAUUAUUUAAUGGCUGCAGUAUAAUUGACUGUACAAAGGUAGCAUAAUCAAUUGUUUUUUAAUUAAAAACUGGAAUGAAAGAAUAAAUGAGAUAUAUACUGUCUCAUAUAUAUUUUAUUAAUUUAAAUUUUUAGUAAAAAUGCUGAAAUUUAUUUAUGGGACGAUAAGACCCUAUAGAAUUUUAUAUUUAUAUUUAGAUUAUGAGUUUUUAUAAAUAUAAAUAUUUAAUUGGGAGGAUUAGUAAAUUUAUAAAACUUUAUUUUGAAUAUAAACUUUAAUUAAAGAAUAGUUAUUGAUCUUGUAUUAUAAAUUAAAAGAAUAAAUUACCUUAGGGAUAACAGCGUUAUAUCUUUUUAAAGAUCAUAUUAAUAAAGAUGUUUGCGACCUCGAUGUUGAAUUAAGAUAAAUUUUAAAUGUAGAAGUUUAAUAAUUAAGUCUGUUCGACUUUUAAAAUCUU